GUGGUUGAUGGGGACCAGGUGCUUCACAGAAUCCAUCUGAUUGAAGCUGUAAACUUCUCGCUGAUGGAGGAGGUGGCGGCUCAGUUCUUCCUAGCAGAGGCUUGGUUGCAAAUACCUGCCUUCCAGUUUUGGGGGUGGCAACAAACAGUUGAAAACCUUGGGGUGCUAUGAGGAAGAAGCUAAGGAUGAAGUGAGAGGAUAAUACCAUGCUGUCUAUGGCCCUCAACUUGGAUAAACCAAAAGUGGCUGAACAAAAUGGAGAUGGUUAAGCUUUUCCCAGGAUUGGCAGAGCCAGCCUAUCAUGGUGUCAAGUGCCAUCCUCUACGUGUGAAAGCUGCAAGGGGACUAUGGACACUUGGGGCAAGAGAUCACAGAUGGAGACAUGCAACAGACUACCUAAGACCCUGAGGACAACCUGAGGUGAGACCAUCUUGGAAAUUAAGACGUUCAAGAGCAGCUGUAUAAAGAGGAAUUCUGAAAGUCACAAGCAGGCCCAGAAGGAGAAGAGAGAGGAAAGGGUUACAAAUAUAUUUGGUGAAAUUGUGGCUGAAAACUUCCUGAAAUUGAAGAAAUUCCCACACAAAAUGAACCCAAAGAGAUCCACAUCAAGACAAAUGAUUUGAAGCAAUAAAACAAUAGAGAUGGACUUGGAGGGUAUUGUGCUAAGUGAAAUAAGUCAGAGAAAGACGAAUACUGUAUGAUAUUACUCAUAUGUGGAAUCUGAAUAAUAUAAGAAACUAGUGAAUAUAGCAAAGAAGAAACAGACUUACAGAUUUACAGAGCAAAGUACUGAUUACCAGUCAGAUGAGUGAAGGGGAAAGGGACAAAAUGGUAGGGAAUUUAGAAAUAGCAACUAUUAUGCAAAAUAAGCUAUGAGAAUAUAUUGUGUAAUGCAGGGAAUAUAGCCAGUGUUUUGUGAUAAGUAUCAAUGGAGUAUAGCCUUUGGAAGUUGUGAAUCACUAUUAUACAUCUGUAACUGUAUAUAAUAUUGUACAACAACUAUAUAUUUCACAUGAUUGAUUAACAAUGUUGUCUUAGUUUUAGGUGUACAGCAAAGUGAUUCAGCGAUAUAUAUACAUUUAUCUAUCCUUUUGCAAAUUCUUUUCCCAUUUAGGUUAUUACAGAGCACUGA